CCAACUAACAUAAUAUUUUCGCUUCGUUAGAAGAUGAACCUCCAAAUUGCUUUGGGGUUUUUGUGUCUUUAUAUUCUUGUUUUAAAUUCAUCCAAAGUAUCUGGAUGUCAUGUAAAGAAGGAGAAUCUUAUACCAUGACAUUGAAUUCACCUCAACAAGAUGUAGAUACGCUGGUCUGGAAAUGUGGUGAGAAGGUCAUUUAUAAACGGAGGAGAGGAAAGAUUGAUCCAGCUGCAGAUGUGGACAUGCAAGGCUCCCUUACUCUAACAAAUAUUUCCAAGUCAAUGGCUUGUACAUACAAAGCUAACCAUUCAUAUCAAAAUGGGAACACAUUCUCAACUAAAACAUUCUCUGAGAGACUCUGUGUCUUCUCCAGGACUCCAGACCCAAAGUUGGAGGUGGAAUGUUCAUCAGGUGUGGCAACCCUCCAGUGUGAGCCUAAGAGCUUUCCUGAGGGCAUCACAUUGACAUGGUUCCACAACGACAUUGAGAUGAAAAAUGAGAAAUCUAACCGUCUAACACCUCAGAAACAAGGAGGAAAGGAUCGCUACAAAUGUAGACUUAGUAAUGGUAUCAACACGAAAGACAGUAAUGAAGAAAUCAUUUCAUGUGGAGUCUCUGGUAAAUAUAUGUAACAAAAUCUAUUAGGCAUAGUUAACACUCGAAGGCACUCACACGUGCACACUCAACCAUACCAUGCCAGCAUGCAUACACCCACACACACACAUACACUUGCACGUAUACACACUCACACAGGAAACCGUCUCUCUCAGCUAACCUGCCAUUUGCACUUCUAAGGGAUGUGAGAAGAUAAACUUCCAAAUUGCUUUGGGGUUUUUGUGUCUUUAUGUUCUUGAUUUAACUGCAUCCCAAGGUGGGUAGUGAUUUGUUUAGGUCUAUAUGAAUUAUUUUAGUUUUACUAAUUCACUAAUUUAGGCUAUGUGUGGUUUGAUUAAUCUGUAAUGCUAAUGUAUUUCAAUAGGCUACUGUAUACAAAGUAAUUUAAAUAUCCCCCUAACCUGCACGACAGUCUAAUUAAAUUACAUUAAACAUUGACACUUUGAACAUUGAUCAAGCCAAAUCAUAAACAUGUAAUUUCUGGACCAGUAACUUCAUCUGUAUCAAGAUACUGUCAAGGUACCAGAUAAAUGAUUGACAUUAAAUGACAAAA